rnacentral:RNase_P_RNA from 1 species
CCAGACGGUCGGACGGUCGCUGCCCUGUUUUGCAGGGGAGAGGAAAGUCCGGGCUCCACGGGAGAACGGUGCCGGUUAACGACCGGCGAGGGUGACCUUAGGGAAAGUGCCACAGAAAACAGACCGCCUUCCGGGUUUAUACCAUGGGCGACUAUGGGAUGGAACUGAAGGUAAGGGUGAAACGGUGCGGUAAGAGCGCACCGCUCGGCCGGUAACGGAAGAGGCAUGGUAAACCCCACCGGGAGCAAAACCGAAUAGGAGCGACAGAAACCUGCUUGCAGGUUUCAGGGGUUCUCUCGCCCCGUUGCUCGGGUUGGUUGCGUGAGGUGUGCCGCAAGGCUCACCCUAGACGAAUGACCGUCCAAGCCCCUUAUGGGGCCGGACAGAACCCGGCUUACAGACCGUCUGGCAUU